rnacentral:rRNA from 1 species
AUGGCGGAUGCAAGGAACAAGUUCGCGGAACCGGAUGAAGAGACACCUUUUGGACGUCACUUGAAGGAAGUCACUAGAUACCUGAACAUCGGAGUAUCAAGCUUCACCAGAACCUACAUUGCCACUUUACCAGAAGAGGAGCAUUGGAUGAUUCAAGUUCAAGUUCUAGGAAGGAUGUUCAUACCAGUCACUGAGCCCAUAGAGUUUUCCUUUGAUGCACUAACCUGGAGUCUAGGAAAGAGCAUGGCAGCCCACAUCACCAUGGAACGCAUUGGAGAAGUUUACCACAAGGAUCUCAAGGAUACUAUGUACCAAAUUUGUGGGCGCCUAGAUGAGCAAUGGGAGAUGAUCAGCACCAGGAAGGAUAGAUCAAUUGCAGCUUUCAUCCAGGAGUUAAACCAGCACAUUCGUCGCCAGGAGAACCAGAUGUGUGCAGGCACGAUAGAUCUGAAGAAGGCAAUGACCAAGAUCACGGAGCUGGAAGAAGAACUCAAGUCUACACGCGAUGGAUAUGAGGAAGAAAUGACGACACUCGUGGAGAAGAAUGAUGACAUGAAGAAGAAGCUAAAAGUAUUCAUGGGAUUCACUUGCCCGGAGAACUACAUCAUCAUCGACGACACCUACUCGAACCCCGACGAUAGCGAUGAUGACUAUGUUGAUGAAGCUGGAGCAGAUAUCAUGGAGUCUUUGGUCGAUCAAUUUUUCUAG